rnacentral:rRNA from 1 species
UACGAAGGGGGCUAGCGUUGCUCGGAAUCACUGGGCGUAAAGGGUGCGUAGGCGGGUCUUUAAGUCAGGGGUGAAAUCCUGGAGCUCAACCCCAGAACUGCCUUUGAUACUGAAGAUCUUGAGUUCGGGAGAGGUGAGUGGAACUGCGAGUGUAGAGGUGAAAUUCGUAGAUAUUCGGAAGAACACCAGUGGCGAAGGCGGCUCACUGGUCCGGUACUGACGCUGAGGUGCGAAAGCGUGGGGAGCAAACAGG